CACGUAGGCGGAUUUGUAAGUUAGGGUGAAAUCCCGGGGCUCAACCUCGGAACUGCCUUUGAUACUGCAAGUCUAGAGUCCGAGAGAGGUGAGUGGAAUUCCUAGUGUAGAGGUGAAAUUCGUAGAUAUUAGGAAGAACACCAGUGGCGAAGGCGGCUCACUGGCUCGGUACUGACGCUGAGGUGCGAAAGCGUGGGGAGCAAACA
rnacentral:rRNA from 1 species